GUCGGGAGGGCGGUGAAUACAACACCCGAAAGGGAAAUAAGCCCGCCGGCUGUUUGCGGUUUCUAGCCUCCCGACAUCCCGCC
rfam:Lysobacter capsici AZ78 unitig_0_1_merged, whole genome shotgun sequence.